CCCUUAGAUGUUCUGGGCCGCACGCGCGCUACACUGAUGAAUUCAACGAGUUUUUGUUUUCCUUUUCGAAGGGGCAAGUCCUUGGCCGGAAGGUCUGGGUAAUCUUAUAAAUGUUCAUCGUGAUGGGGCUAGAUUUUUGCAAUUAUUAAUCUCCAACGAGGAAUUCCUAGUAAACGCAAGUCAUCAGCUUGCAUUGAUUACGUCCCUGCCCUUUGUACACACCGCCCGUCGCACCUACCGAUUGAGAGCAUAGGUGAAAACUCAGGAUCUUAUCUCUUGGACCUUCGGGUACCUUUAGAUUAGAGAAUUUGUUUAAACCUCCGUUCUUAGAGGAAGGUGAAGUCGUAACA
rnacentral:rRNA from 1 species